rnacentral:rRNA from 1 species
CAGGAAGACAGGUGGUGCAUGGUUGUCGUCAGCUCGUGUCGUGAGAUGUUGGGUUAAGUCCCGCAACGAGCGCAACCCUUAUUGUUAGUUGCUACCAUUUAUUUGAGCACUCUAGCGAGACUGCCCGGGUUAACCGGGAGGAAGGUGGGGAUGACGUCAAAUCAUCAUGCCCCUUAUGUCUAGGGCUACACACGUGCUACAAUGGCUGGUACAGAGAGAUGCUAAACCGCGAGGUGGAGCCAAACUUUAAAACCAGUCUCAGUUCGGAUUGUAGGCUGAAACUCGCCUACAUGAAGCUGGAGUUGCUAGUAAUCGCGAAUCAGAAUGUCGCGGUGAAUACGUUCCCGGGCCUUGUACACACCGCCCGUCACACCAUGAGAGUUGGCAAUACCCAAAGUUCGUGAGCUAACCCGUAAGGGAGGCAGCGACCUAAGGUAGGGUCAGCGAUUGGGGUGAAGUCGUAACAAGGUAGCCGUAGGAGAA